UUUCCGUAGGUGAACCUGCGGAAGGAUCAUUGUCGAAGCCUGCCCAGCAGAACGACCCGCGAACUUGUAUAAACAACCGGGGGCAGGGGCGAUCUCGCCCCGUGCCCUCGAACGGCAGGGAGACACUCGUGCCUUCUUGUCGAACAACGAACCCCGGCGCGGUCAGCGCCAAGGAACUUCAAUUAAAGAGUGCCUCCGGUCGCCUCGGAAACGAUGCGCGUGUCGGAGGCGAAUCUUGUACAAAACCAUAACGACUCUCGGCAACGGAUAUCUCGGCUCUC
rnacentral:misc_RNA from 1 species